GCUGUCAUCAAACUUUAACCUUGUUCAUAACUUUUUCAGAUCUUGGUGUAUUGUCUUCACACUUGGCCACAACAACCCUUCAAAUAGACCAGACUAAACUAAAUUAACUUGACCACCAUAUAAACAUUCAAGAAGUUCGGCCUACAUGUCAGAUUUAUGAAUGUGAACAGCAGGAUAUUGAUUUUAAGGAUGCUUUAGGGUCAAUGAUAAUGAAAUCACGAGAGAUAAAGGCUAAAAUGUGAGACUGUCAAUCUGACUAACCUUGAAGUGAACAAAUGGAAAAAAUGUUUCUUUCAAUAGCAUGGGCUUUUAAGGAAGAGGAAACAGAGGCGCUUAUAUGAUAGAACAGUAAAAGCAGGAGUGAUAAGGAAAGAUACAUGUAGAUGUGUCUUCAUGUCGGAAACACUAAAGAAAUAGAAAUAUUGUGGUUUUAUAAAACUUAAAAGAAAUUGGAAUAUCAGGAGACUGCCUGCCCUUUGCAAUGUUGGAUAAUGAGUUCUUAGAUGUGAUGUCGAAAGCCUCAUGAAUAUAGUACCAUGACUUAAUCUAAUUAGAAAAAGAAAUGACAUUGAGGAGAAAACUAGUCACCAGUCUUUCACCAAGAACUAGAGAUAACUUUCCAAUAUUUGAAAUAUCAUAAUAUGUAUAGAACUUUAUUGAGCCACCAGUUUUACACCAGGAAAAUAAGAUCACUUUACUAUUUUUAGCUCACCUGUCACAAAGUGACAGGGUGAGCUUUUUUGAUCGCUUUUCGUCUGGCGUCCACUUUAAAUGACAUCUCCUCAUAAACCAUCAAGCCAAUUUGAUCCAAACUUCACAGGAAUGUUUCUUUGGUGGUCACCUCUAAAUAUUGUUCAUAGAACGCUGGUUGCCAUGGCAACCAAAAGAAAAAAACUUAAAGUAUCUUCUUUUAAAGAACCCAAAGAGCUAGAGCUUAGACAAAGUAUCUUCUUUUAAAGAUAUGAAACAUCUUCUAGUGAGUGUCUACCAAGUUUGCUCAAAUAAAAGCCCUGGGGGUCAAAAUUGGCCCCGCCCCAGGGGGUCAUUGAAUUUCCCUAUAUGCAUAUAGUAAAAACUUAAAAAUCUUCUUUUAAAGAACCAAAAUAGCUAGAGUUUAGAUAUUAAGCAUGAAACAUCUUCUUGUAAGUGUCUACAAAGUUUGUUCAAAUAAAAGCCCUGGGGUCAAAAUUGGCCCCUCCCCGGGGGUCAUUGAUUUUCCUUAUUUGUGUAUAGCAAAAACUUAAAAACCUUCUUUGAAAAAACCUUAAUAGCUAGAGUUUAGAUAUUAAGCAUGAAACAUCUUCUGGUAAGUGUGUUCAAGGUUU